UACGUAGGGUGCGAGCGUUGUCCGGAAUUAUUGGGCGUAAAGGGCUCGUAGGCGGUUUGUCGCGUCGGGAGUGAAAACCUCGGGCUUAACUCGGGGCUUGCUUUCGAUACGGGCAGACUAGAGGUAUGCAGGGGAGAACGGAAUUCCUGGUGUAGCGGUGAAAUGCGCGGAUAUCAGGAGGAACACCGGUGGCGAAGGCGGUUCUCUGGGCAUGAUCUGACGCUGAGGAGCGAAAGCGUGGGGAGCGAACAGG
rnacentral:rRNA from 1 species